AGAUUGAACGCUGGCGGCAGGCCUAACACAUGCAAGUCGAGCGGCAGCACGGGUACUUGUACCUGGUGGCGAGCGGCGGACGAGUGAGUAAUGCCUAGGAAUCUGCCUGGUAGUGGGGGAUAACGCUCGGAAACGGACGCUAAUACCGCAUACGUCCUACGGGAGAAAGCAGGGGACCUUCGGGCCUUGCGCUAUCAGAUGAGCCUAGGUCGGAUUAGCUAGGUUGGGUGGGUAAGUAGUCGUCACCAACGG
rnacentral:rRNA from 1 species